CUCAGGAUGAACGCUGGCGGCGUGCCUAAUACAUGCAAGUCGAGCGGCAGGCACGGUCUUCGGACUGGUGGCGAGCGGCGGACGGCUGAGUAACGCGUAGGAACAUACCCAAAGUGAGGGAUAACUGCUCGAAAGAGUAGCUAAUACCGCAUGUGCUCUAAGGAGUAAAGCUUCGGCGGUUUGGGAACGGCCUGCGUACGAUUAGAUAGUUGGUAGGGUAAUGGCCUACCAAGUCGAUGAUCGUUAGCUGGUCUGAGAGGAUGAUCAGCCAGACUGGGACUGAGAACGGCCCAGACUCCUACGGGAGGCAGCAGUAGGGAAUUUUCCACAAUGGACGAAAGUCUGAUGGAGCAACGCCGCGUGCAGGAUGAAUGCCUUCGGGUUGUAAACUGCUUUUAUAUGCGACGAAUAUGACGGUAGCAUAUGAAUAAGGAUCGGCUAACUCCGUG
rnacentral:rRNA from 1 species